rnacentral:rRNA from 1 species
UUAAAAGUAAUUAAGAGCAAAUGGCGGAUGCCUAGGCUCUCAGAGGCGAUGAAGGACGUGGUAAGCUGCGAUAAGCUACGGUAAGGUGCAAACAACCAUUACAACCGUAGAUUUCCGAAUGGGGCAACCCUCCCGAUUGAAGAUCGGAACCCGAAUAGGGGCUAACCCAGGGAACUGAAACAUCUAAGUACCUGGAGGAAAAGAAAACAAUAGUGAUUCCCUAAGUAGUGGCGAGCGAACAGGGAGUAGCCCAAACCAAAGUAAUUUCGGUUGCUUUGGGGUUGUAGGACCACGUUGUGGUUUUGUUAUCAGAAGUAGAAAACAUCUGGAAAGAUAUACCAAAGAGGGUGAUAGUCCCGUAUACGUAUAGUUAACAAAACCUAGUGGUAUCCUGAGUAGCGCGGGACCGGAGAAAUCCUGCGUGAAUCUGCCGGCACCAUCCGGUAAGGCUAAAUACUCUCAGUGACCGAUAGUGAACUAGUACCGUGAGGGAAAGGUGAAAAGCACCCCGAAGGGGGAGUGAAAUAGUACCUGAAACCAUUUGCUUACAACCGGUCAGAGCCUGAUUUAUCUGGGUGAUGACGUGCCUUUUGCAUAAUGAUCCUACGAGUUACUCGUCACUGGCAAGGUUAAGGAACCUAGUUCUGAAGCCGCAGCGAAAGCAAGUCUGAAUAGGGCGACUAGUCAGUGGCGGUAGACGCGAAACCUUGUGAUCUACCCAUGAGCAGGUUGAAGUUCCGGUAACACGGCAUGGAGGACCGAACCAGUAAACGUUGAAAAGUUUUGGAUGACUUGUGGGUAGGGGUGAAAGGCCAAUCAAACUGGGAGAUAGCUCGUACUCCUCGAAAUGCCUUUAGGGGCAGCCUCGGAAUGUAAGUGUUAUAGAGGUAGAGCUACCGAUUGGACUAGGGGCUUCAUCGCCUACCAAAUCCUGACGAACUCCGAAUGCUAUAACACAUGUCCAGGAGUGAGGCCGGGGGUGCUAAGGUCACCGGCCGAGAGGGAAACAACCCAGACCAUCAGCUAAGGUCCCCAAAUCUAUAUUAAGUUGCACAAACGAUGUCCGAUUGCUAUAACAGCCAGGAUGUUUGCUUGGAAGCAGCAAUCAUUUAAAGAGUGCGUAACAGCUCACUAGUCGAGUGAUCGAGCGCGGAAAAUAAUCGGGCAUCAAGUGUACCACCGAAGCUAUGGAUUAGCAGCAAAUGCUGUUAGUGGUAGAGGAGCAUUCCAGUCUGCUGCGAAGGUGUAUCGUGAGGUAUGCUGGAGCGUCUGGAAAAGAAAAUGUAGGUAUAAGUAACGAUAAAAUGGGUGAGAAACAUAUUCGCCGUAAGAUAAGGGUUCCUGAUCAACGUUAAUCGGAUCAGGGUUAGUCGGGGCCUAAGGUGCACCCGAGAGGGGAAACCGAUGGGAAAGGAGUUAAUAUUCUUGUACCAGCUUAUGCUGCGAUGGGGUGACGGAGUAGUGAAAGUCCUGCGUACGGACGGAAGUGUACGUUAAAGGGUGUAGUUUAUGAGAGGGCCAGGCAAAUCCAGUCCUUGAGAUGAAACCCGAUAGUACCGCGAUCUUUUAAGAGAGCGGAUAAUGGACCUAAUCAUACUUCCAAGAAAAACCUCUAAGCUUCAGGCAUAAGCUGCCCGUACCGCAAACCGACACAGGUAGUCGAGGAGAGUAUCCUCAGGCGCUCGAGUGAUUCACGGCUAAGGAACUCGGCAAAAUAGACCCGUAACUUCGGGAGAAGGGUCGCCCCGCGCAAGCGGGGCCGCAGUAAAAAGGCUCAGGCGACUGUUUAGCAAAAACACAGGGCUCUGCAAAAUCGAAAGAUGAAGUAUAGGGCCUGACACCUGCCCGGUGCUGGAAGGUUAAGGAAGCUUGUUAGUGGGAAACUGCGAAGCUUGUAACUGAAGCCCCAGUAAACGGCGGCCGUAACUAUAACGGUCCUAAGGUAGCGAAAUUCCUUGUCGGGUAAGUUCCGACCUGCACGAAUGGUGUAACGAUCUGAGCACUGUCUCGGCCGUGAGCUCGGUGAAAUUGUAGCCCCGGUGAAGAUGCCGGGUACCCGCAACGGGACGGAAAGACCCCGUGAACCUUCACUAUAGCUUUGCAUUGGUUUUGAGUAAAUAAUGUGUAGGAUAGGUGGGAGGCUGCGAAGCAGGCACGCUAGUGUUUGUGGAGCCGUCCUUGAAAUACCACCCUUUAUUUACUUAGAGUCUAACUCUUUGAAAGAGGACAGUGCAUGGUGGGUAGUUUGACUGGGGUGGUCGCCUCCAAAAGAGUAACGGAGGCUUUCAAAGGUACCCUCAGCACGCUUGGUAACCGUGCGUAGAGCGCAAUAGUAUAAGGGUGCUUGACUGUAAGACCGACGGGUCAAGCAGGUAGGAAACUAGGAUAUAGUGAUCCGGUGGUUCCGUAUGGAAGGGCCAUCGCUCAUAGGAUAAAAGGUACUCCGGGGAUAACAGGCUGAUCCUACCCAAGAGCUCAUAUCGACGGUAGGGUUUGGCACCUCGAUGUCGGCUCGUCACAUCCUGGGGCUGGAGAAGGUCCCAAGGGUUGGGCUGUUCGCCCAUUAAAGUGGCACGCGAGCUGGGUUCAGAACGUCGCAAGACAGUUCGGUCCCUAUCUGUUGUGGGCGUUUGAGAUUUGAGGAGAUCUGACUCUAGUACGAGAGGACCGGGUCGGACUGACCACUAGUGUACCUGUUAUGGCGCCAGCUGUAUCGCAGGGUAGCUAUGUCGGGAAUGGAUAAGCGCUGAAAGCAUCUAAGCACGAAACCAACUCCAAGAUUAGAUCUCGUAGGGCUGUGGAAGAUUACCACGUUGAUAGGCUACAGGUGUAAAGGCAGUAAUGUCAUAGCCGAGUAGUACUAAUUGCCCGUAAGCUUUUAAAA